UACGUAGGGUGCGAGCGUUGUCCGGAAUUAUUGGGCGUAAAGAGCUCGUAGGCGGUCUGUCGCGUCGGUCGUGAAAACUUGGGGCUUAACCCUGAGCUUGCGGUCGAUACGGGCAUGACUGGAGUUCGGCAGGGGAGACUGGAAUUCCUGGUGUAGCGGUGAAAUGCGCAGAUAUCGGGAGGAACACCUAUGGCGAAGGCAGCUCGCUGGGACGUUACUGACGCUGAGACGCGAAAGCGUGGGGAGCAAACAGG
rnacentral:rRNA from 1 species